GCGUCGAGCCGCCCUCGCUUCCACAGGGAGGCCAGCCAAGAAUACGCGCCGAUUCAUCCAGACACGCCUUCUGCUGGGACGCGUUCAUUUCAGCACCGGACAGAGAGAGGCGGCUGCAGGCGCUGCUGAUUUUACAACACGCUGGCUCCUGCUGUUUAAACUGUUUAGUUUGGGUUGAAAUGGUUUUUAAUAGUUUGUGAGUUUUGUGUUUGUUUAUUACCUGCACGGAGUUCCGGGAAAAGGAAAGAAUCGCAUUUCUCUGUUGAAUUUCACACACAGAGUGGAGCGCGUCAGUCUCUGCAGACAAGUGUCGCUUUUCAAUGAGAUUAUUUCCUGAGAAACAAACGCGUUUCAAUUCCAGCAGAGCUGCGCGGGAUCCUGAAAGACGGGCGCUACUCCUUGCAAAGUCUGUUUGUGAUGCAUAUAUUUGAAUGGGAAGGCUACGAUAAAAACAAAUAUAUCUACUAAAUACAAACCGAAGCAGUGUUUGUGGAUGAAAAGAGGAUUCCGCUAGACCAGUCUCCCACUAAAACCAGUGAAGAUGGAGGUCAGUGUCUCCGUGUCGCUCUUUCAAGAGCAGCUCGUCUCUCCCGUCGAGCGCGCAGUGAAAGCGGCUGAAACUCCAUCCUGUGUGAAAUUCACUGAGUUCCGAGUGGAAAUGACUGGAUUGAAGAGAGAGAAUGAAAGUCUGAAGCUGAGAUUGGAAAUAUCAGAGAACUGAGAGCCGUGCGAGGGUGUAUAAACACUGCAGAUACAGACAUUAAACAGGCUUUCAUAUUUCAGGAUCCCAGAGAGAGUCACGCUAUCCCUGAAUCUGAAGUACAGGAGGAGCCAAAUAUAGAAGCAGUUUCCACACAAGAGGAGUCCUUUGAGCAGGAGUGCUGUGCAAGUUUAAUGCAGGUUACAGAGCUGCCGUUUGUUAAAGACUGAACAGGAAUGUGUUCCUAUGAAAGAGGAGUUCAUAGAGCAGGAAUGUGUCUCCAUCGCAGAGGAACCUCCUACUGAAAAUAAUGCCUGUACACUUGAUGACAACAUCAAGCUGGGAUCCAGCCUGUGUGAUGAUUCUCCAUCUGAAUGUGAACUGGGGUUUAGAGCUUCUAAAGUAGCUGAAGGAGAACACGACUCCACUCCAUCACCCCAGUG